CAUUUUUUGAGCUGCAGCAACAUCUGUUUUUGUUGACACCACGGCAGACGGCACCACACUCAGCGCUUUUUAAGUUUUGACACGACGUUUUUUCGUUUCUUCAGAGAGAAAACUACUGGAAAAAAUGAUGAAAAUGUUCAUUUUCACCCUUUUGGUUGCUGCGGUCCUAGCAAUCGACAAGCCCGAGGAGGACAACAAAGCAGUACGAGUGACUAUAGAGAGUUGUGGUGGGUGACGAUUGAAUCGUCUUCCAGAGAUAAAAGCUUUUAUCCACGAAGAUGUACCUCAAAUCCCAGAAGCAACUUUCCAGCACGUCGGUGGAGCUCCGCCAGAGGCAAUUUUUUACAAUAAGGACGACAAGGAGAUCUCUCGAGUUGAGCUUUCUGAUAAGUCCAGAGAGCAGUGCAUUGAGCUUUUGGCCGAGCACGGCUUCUACAAGAAGGAAGUUGCUGACGAAGGUGCCGAUGAUGCUGAGGACAGAGAGGAAUUGUAAAUUCUCUGCCUUUAAAAUUUAUUUGUGAUUUGGGAAUUUGAAUUUGCCAAUGAAUGAGAACUUCUGUUCAAGUAUUUUAUGAUGUGGCUAAUUUAAACCUGAAAAGGGUGGUUGGCUGCUGAUGCUCUCUUGGGCUGCAGAUCCAUUCAAUGGCAAGGGCAAGUUUCCCGAGUGCAAUAUUAUUUCACAAUUUAUUUUUCCAUUAAGUGAACUUUGUCGAUUUUACUUAAGUUUACGAUAGAAAAUGACCACAAGGAUUAUUUAAAAAUAAAAACGCAACUUUUCAAGCGUA